ACGAACGCUGGCGGCGUGCUUAGCACCUGCCAGUCGAACGGUGAACUCCGCUUGCGGGGGGAUCAGUGGCGAACGGGUGAGUAACACGUGGGCAACCUGCCCUCAGCUCUGGGAUAACUCCAAGAAAUUGGGGCUAAUACCGGAUAUGACCGCUGACCGCAUGGUCUGGUGGUGGAAAGAUUUAUCGGCUGGGGAUGGGCCCGCGGCCUAUCAGCUUGUUGGUGGGGUAGUGGCCUACCAAGGCGACGACGGGUAGCCGGCCUGAGAGGGUGACCGGCCACACUGGGACUGAGACACGGCCCAGACUCCUACGGGAGGCAGCAGUGGGGAAUAUUGCGCAAUGGGCGAAAGCCUGACGCAGCGACGCCGCGUGGGGGAUGACGGCCUUCGGGUUGUAAACCUCUUUCAGCAGGGACGAAGCGAAAGUGACGGUACCUGCAGAAGAAGCACCGGCCAACUACGUG
rnacentral:rRNA from 1 species